rnacentral:rRNA from 1 species
ACGCACGCUGGCGGCGUGCUUAACACAUGCAAGUCGAACGGAAAGGCCCUGCUUUUGUGGGGUGCUCGGGUGGCGAACGGGUGAGUAACACGUGAGUAACCUGCCCUUGACUUUGGGAUAACUUCAGGAAACUGGGGCUAAUACCGGAUAGGAGCUCCUGCUGCAUGGUGGGGGUUGGAAAGUUUCGGCGGUUGGGGAUGGACUCGCGGCUUAUCAGCUUGUUGGUGGGGUAGUGGCUUACCAAGGCUUUGACGGGUAGCCGGCCUGAGAGGGUGACCGGCCACAUUGGGACUGAGAUACGGCCCAGACUCCUACGGGAGGCAGCAGUGGGGAAUAUUGCACAAUGGGCGGAAGCCUGAUGCAGCAACGCCGCGUGCGGGAUGACGGCCUUCGGGUUGUAAACCGCUUUCGCCUGUGACGAAGCGUGAGUGACGGUAAUGGGUAAAGAAGCACCGGCUAACUACGUG